CAGCCGUAAACAAUGUGCGUUAGGUAUGUCGGUAACCACGUGUUACUGAUGUGCCGAAGAGAAAUCGUGAAACGCACCACCUGGGAAGUACGGUCGCAAGGCUGAAACUUAAAGGAAUUGGCGGGGGGAGCACCACAACAGGUGGAGCCUGCGGUUUAAUAGGAUUCAACGCCGGAACAUCUCACCGGAUAAGACAGCUGAAUGAUUGUCAAUCUGAAGGUUUUACAUGACUAGCUGAGAGGAGGUGCAUGGCGUCAGUGACU
rnacentral:rRNA from 1 species